rnacentral:rRNA from 1 species
AACUGCGAAUGGCUCAUUAAAUCAGUUAUCGUUUAUUUGAUAGUACCUUACUACUUGGAUACCCGUGGUAAUUCUAGAGCUAAUACAUGCUAAAAACCCCAACUUCGGGAGGGGUGUGUUUAUUAGAUAAAAAACCAACGCCCUUCGGGGCUCCUUGGUGAUUCAUGAUAACCUCUCAGAUCGCAUGGCCUUGCGCCGGCGACGGUUCAUUCAAAUUUCUGCCCUAUCAACUUUCGAUGGUAAGGUAUUGGCUUACCAUGGUUUCAACGGGUAACGGGGAAUUAGGGUUCGAUUCCGGAGAGUGAGCCUGAGAAACGGCUCACACAUCCAAGGAAGGCAGCAGGCGCGCAAAUUACCCAAUCCCGACACGGGGAGGUAGUGACAAUAAAUACUGAUACAGGGCUCUUUUGGGUCUUGUAAUUGGAAUGAGUACAAUUUAAACCUCUUAACGAGGAACAAUUGGAGGGCAAGUCUGGUGCCAGCAGCCGCGGUAAUUCCAGCUCCAAUAGCGUAUAUUAAAGUUGUUGCAGUUAAAAAGCUCGUAGUUGAAUCUUUGGCCUGGCUGGCGGGUCCGCCUCACCGCGUGCACUUGUCCGGCCGGGCCUUUUCUUCUGGAGAACCGCAUGCCCUUCACUGGGCGUGUUGGGGACCAGGACUUUUACUUUGAAAAAAUUAGAGUGUUCAAAGCAGGCCUUUGCUCGAAUACGUUAGCAUGGAAUAAUAGAAUAGGACGUGCGGUCCUAUUUUGUUGGUUUCUAGGACCGCCGUAAUGAUUAAUAGGGACAGUCGGGGGCAUCAGUAUUCAAUUGUCAGAGGUGAAAUUCUUGGAUUUAUUGAAGACUAACUACUGCGAAAGCAUUUGCCAAGGAUGUUUUCAUUAAUCAGUGAACGAAAGUUAGGGGAUCGAAGACGAUCAGAUACCGUCGUAGUCUUAACCAUAAACUAUGCCGACUAGGGAUCGGGCGGUGUUAUCGAUUUGACCCGCUCGGCACCU